CCCACAGGAUGCCAGGGUCUCAACCGCGCUAGGCGGUGUUGCAAGGCCUUCCGUCGGCCUUCCACUGGCAAAGCUGGCAGCUUCUGCAUGGUCCUUAGCAUGAGGCUGGCCCUCGAGAGGACCCGGUUUACCUGGUGACAACGGGAUUCCGAGCAGGUGCCUCGCCGAGGUGGAUGACUCCUAAGCCCAGGAACCAGUCCAUGCCCACCCGAGAGCAUCUUGUUCUAGGUCUGGAACCAGCAUCGUGUCCAAGCAGAAAUGUCCUGUUUCUCGAUUCAAGUAUUUGAUCAGACGAGGGCAUCCUCAGCAGGCAGCCCCAAGGGGCCUAUUCACUUACCUUCCUCUCCCAGGCUGGGGCCAAGGAGCCAGAGGGUGGACCUGGCAGAACUUGCAGGACCUGACUCCGAAGAAAAAUUCCCAAACCCGUUGGGGCAGUGGACAGUGUUAUGUCCUGAAGCCACUGUACUGACCGUCCACCUGCACCAAGGGCCAAGACCGCAUAAACUGGGCCCUGGCACUUGGAGACCCAAGGGGCCCCACUCGCCGACCCGGCUCUGGUUACAAGGUGUGGGCUUUCCUCCAGAACUGACCAUGUGGCUAGACAAGGAUUCAGGAGAGGAUCCAGGUUUUGGGGACACCAGGGGGAGCAAGAUGAGGCCCUGCCCCCUGCUAGGUGGGCGCUGGGGGAUGCUGACCACAGCAGGACGCCGUUCCUACUCACUGUCUCGGAUGAUGGUCCUGGGAUGUCUUGUCUCAACCUCAGCAUCAUCAGAGGAGUUGGGGGACACACAUGUCUGUUUCUCAGGACAGGAGAACUCAUGGAAGCCACAUGGCCAGCUCAGAGCCGCUGGACUCAGAUCCCUGCCCGGCACCAAUGUCUAAGUGCAUGCAUGCUCAGUUGUAUCCAACUCUCUGCGACACCAUGGACCAGCCCACCAGGCUCCUUUGUCCAUUGGAUUCUCCAGGCAAGAAUACUGGAGUGAGUAGCCAUUUCUUCCUCCAGAGGAUCUUCCCAACCCAGGGAUCAAACAUGUGUCUCCCGAAUUUCCUGCAUUGCAGGCAGUCUUUGCCACUUGAACAAGACUGCUUGGUAAAAAAUCUACAACUCCAGGCACCUGUCUUGGAGGCAGGGCACUUGUGAGCUUUAGUGUGUAGUUGAACCCGGUGAAAGUGCCAGUAUGUAGCCAGUUGUUGACCUUCAAAAGUACAACUUUUGUAUUCAUCCUGGAACAUUAAAUUUCAGAACACAGCGUGGGCUGAUGGUGAUCCUCCACACUGUGGCUGAUGAGAUGUCAGCACAUUGGAGCUGAAGGCCAGGACCCCUUCCUGGAGCCCAUGGACAGGCUACAUGUGAACAUCACAGAGCCCAGCCUGUCACAGACCUGGAGGAGUCUCCAGGCCUCUGCCUCUCUGCUCCUGUCCGCUGUCUGAUCUGCAGAUUCUCCCGGCCAGAGGAGCCAAGCCCUCAUCCUCUGUAGCCCCUGGCUCUGUCCCCUGCCUGUGGACUGACCACAAUGCCCUUCCCAGACAGCCCUCCUGGUCUGCACCUCCCGCCUGCUGAGGCACUUGCCAUGAUGUCCAUGCUGUCUAGGCGUGUGUGCCCUGUGGACCUGGGGCCAGGCCAGGUUCAGAAGGCAGCAGACCUUCAGGGAGUGGGAAGUCAGACCACCGAACUGGUUUCUACAGGGGAAUUUAGGAUACAGGACACCUCAAGUGGUGCACAGCACACAGAGCCAAAACUCAAAGCCUAAUUUAAAAAUAUACACAAUAUCAUUAAUUAAUGAAAUAGAGAAACAUGGGCCCUGAGAGCCUGGAGGAGGCCAUGUGCCCCAGGACAGUCCAGGUACAGGGGGUAGUCCUGGGGCACUGAACUGCUGGGUCA
ensembl:lncRNA